GAAGGGACAGGACAAUAUACAAGGUCCUUACACAUCACAAGAAAGUGCAAUACGGGAGUUUGAACAAAGAUUCUUUGCUAAAACCAAGAAUAAUUGGUCUAACAGAAAAGAGUUUAUUUGUCAACCAAAGAGUUAUACCUGGUUGGAGAUGGACUACAGUGAAAAUGAAAAAGAAUUAUCAGUCAAUGAGAAACGUGGAUCUACUUCAGAGAUUCAACCUCGCAAAACUCAACUUGAUCCAUACAUUGCAAAGUUUAUCUCUCUCAUUUGCAACAUUGG
rnacentral:misc_RNA from 1 species